AUUGAACGCCGGCGGCAUGCCUUACACAUGCAAGUCGAACGGCAGCACGGGAACAAUCCUGGUGGCGAGUGGCGAACGGGUGAGUAAUAUAUCGGAACGUGCCCAGUCGUGGGGGAUAACGUAGCGAAAGCUACGCUAAUACCGCAUAAUCUCUGAGGAGAGAAGCUGGGGGACCGCAAGGCCUGGCGCUUUAAGAUUAGCCUGCGUCCGAUUAGCUAGUUGGUGGGGUAAAGGCCUACCAAGGCGACGAUCGGUAGCUGGUCUGAGAGGAUGACCAGCCACACUGGAACUGAGACACGGUCCAGACUCCUACGGGAGGCAGCAGUGGGGAAUAUUGGACAAUGGGGGGGAACCCUGAUCCAGCAAUGCCGCGUGCAGGAUGAAGGCC
rnacentral:rRNA from 1 species